UAGUGACCUGCGGAAGGAUCAUUGUCGAAACCUGCCCGGCAGAACAACCCGUGAACGCGUUACUAAAAAUACAUCUUGAGGGGGCGCGGAUGCAUUCGUGCCCCUGGCCCCCUCAACGCCCCGUCGUGCGUGACCUCGCCUUGCCACGCCUCCAAGGUGGGUGAGAUGCCUGGUCUCGUCGCUCGUGGCUGAACAACCAACCCCCGGCGCGAAUCGCGCCAAGGAAUCAUAAUGAAAAAGAGCACGUAUGCUGUCGCCGCCCCGUUCGCGGUGUCCGUGCGGCAGCAGCGUGACUCCUUGUCGCGAAAAUAUAAAACGACUCUCGGCAACGGAUAUCUCGGCUCUCCAUCGAUGAAGAACGUAGCGAAAUGCGAUACUUGGUGUGAAUUGCAGAAUCCCGUGAACCAUCGAGUCUUUGAACGCAAGUUGCGCCCCAAGCCAUUAGGCUGAGGGCACGUCUGCCUGGGUGUCACGCAUCGUCGCCCCCUGUCAAAAACCCUCGGCCCCUUGGGCUCCGGUUGAAGCGGGGGCGGAAAUUGGCCUCCCGUGCGCUCCCUGCUCACGGUUGGCCUAAAAACGAGUCCUCGGCAGAGAUAGCGCCGUGACGAUCGGUGGUAAUGCUUCGAGCUGCCUCGUCUCCAGUCGCGUGUGCUUCUUGUUUGCCUGGACCCUUAAACCCUCUCWGCAUCCCACGGAUGAUGCUCGCAUCGCGACCCCA
rnacentral:rRNA from 1 species